GACGAACCGUCCAAACGUUAUUCGGUAUCACUGGGCUUAAAGCGUGCGUAGGCGGCCUGGUAGGUGAGAUGUGAAAGCCCACGGCUCAACCGUGGAAUUGCGUUUUCAAACUACCUGGCUUGAGGGAGAUAGAGGUGAGCGGAACUGAUGGUGGAGCGGUGAAAUGCGUUGAUAUCAUCAGGAACACCUGUGGCGAAAGCAGCUCACUGGGUCUUUUCUGACGCUGAGGCACGAAAGCGUGGGGAGCAAACAGGAUUAGACUA
rnacentral:rRNA from 1 species